UCUCACGAAUAACUUGUUGAGGUCUCCACUUAAUUUCUAUGGAAGGCAACUUGUACGAAAAGACCCAAAAGUAAUUUCCAAGAACGUGAAGUAUUCUUUAGUUGACUUGACGCAGCCAUAAAAGCUGAGGGUAUAUGUAGCUCUAAUUCACUGCGCUAGUCUCUUUACCAAAAAUCAUCCUUUCAUUCUUGCAUCUUAUCAAACCUUUAUUCAUCCAUGGAUUCUCGAUUCACUCAAGGACAAUCAUCUACAUCCUCCAAUAUUCUAUCUACGCAAGGAGAAUCAUCUGCAUCCUUCAAGUUCUUUUAUGAUGUAUUCCUGAGUUUUAGAGGUAUAGACACCCGAAAAACAUUCUCAGGCCAUCUUUAUGACAGAUUGCGUCUACAUGGAUAUCAAAUCUUCAAAGAUGAUAAGAGUUUAAGAAAGGGUGAUGUGAUUUCACCCGCACUAGAGGAAGGAAUUGAAAAGUCAAGGAUUUCCAUUGUUGUUUUGUCAACAAGUUAUGCUUCUUCUCGUUGGUGUCUUGAUGAAUUAGUUAAAAUUCUUGAAUGCAAAGAGAAGUUGAAUCAAAGAGUUAUGCCUAUUUUCUAUGAUGUUGAACCUACAGAAGUGCGAAAGCAAACUGGGAAAUUCGGUACAGAAUUUGCUAAACUCAAGAAAAAAUGUGAGACUCAAAGAAUGAAAAAAUGGAAAGCUGCACUUACUGAAGUUGCAAAUUUAUCUGGAAGCGAAUUGCGAGUACUUGCUAACGGGGAUGAAUCAGAAUUUAUUAAAAUUAUUAUGCAAGAUGUCAAAAAAGAGGUCAACUCUAUACCUCUAAAUGUUGCUUCUUACCCAGUUGGAGUAGAUUCUCGUGCCAAAGAUAUAAUAGAGUCGUUAUUGCAAAAUGGAUGUGAAUAUGAAGUUAGCAUGGUUGGUAUACAUGGAGUUGGUGGAAUCGGAAAAACAACUUUGGCAAAAAAAAUGUACAAUCAAUCAUUUCAACAUGGACACUUCGAUGGUAGUUGCUUCCUUUCAGAUGUUAAAUCACAAGAUAAAAACAUUGGUCUACACAAGCUACAAGAGAAACUUCUCAAUAUACUGCUAAAAAGCAAGGACUCAGUUAAUUGUGUUGAUGAAGGCAUCAAACUUAUGGAAACAAGACUUAGGUCAAAGAAAGUUCUAAUUGUUCUUGAUGAUGUGGACACAGAAAAACAAUUGAAAUCCUUGACAAAAAGAAGUUGGUUUGGUUCAGGUAGUUUAAUAAUCAUUACAACCCGCAAUAAGCGAGUGCUACGUAAUCUUAGAAGAAAAGAGAGAUAUGAGGCCAAACUAUUAAAUGACGAUGAAGCUAGGUUACUUUUUUGUGAGCAUGCUUUUGACAAUCCUUCUCUGCCACAAGAUUAUGUGAAUUUGGCACAAGAUAUAAUCAAAUAUGCAGGUGGGCUACCAUUAGCUCUUGUGACAUUGGGGUCACAUUUGCAUGGACAAUCAAUAGAAGAAUGGAACGAAGAAUUCAAAAGACUAAAAGAUAUUCCUCAUGAAGAUAUCCAAAAGAUUCUCAAAAUAAGCUUUGAUGGACUUCCGCAUGAUACUAAGACUGUUUUUCUUGAUAUUGCAUGCCCCUUUCAAUAUUUAAAAGAAAAAGAAGUUACCAAAAUACUAAAUGCAUGUGGUUUUCAUGCUAAAAGUGAAAUUGCGACUUUAGUCCAAAAACACUUGCUCCAAAGGGAAGGUCACUGCUUGGUGAUGCAUGAUCUAGUGCGAGAUAUGGGAAGAGAAAUCGUUCGCUUGGAAGCAACUCAAUGCCCUGGAGGACGGAGCAGAUUGUUCAUCCAUAAAGAAGUCUCUGCUGUUCUACUAGGAAAUACCGGUACCGAGAAAGUGGAAGUACUGAUUUGGGAUACUGAUCGAGUUGGGGCAUUAGAGGGUUUGACGGUGAGCACUGAGGUAUUUCAGAAAAUGAAAAAUCUUAGGGUUCUUAUAAUCGAUGGUUUAUGUGUGAGUGGAGAUUUUGGGCUGUUCCCCAAGCAGCUCAAAUAUUUGUCUUGGCGAUUCUGUCCUUUAGAACGUAUGCCAUCAAAUUUUCCAGCUGCGAAUCUUGUAUUUCUAGAUAUGAAGGGUGGUUAUAUGGAAGAGUUUGAUCUGAAUUUGCAGUGUUGCCCAAUGUUGAAGGAGCUGAAUCUCUCUUUUUGCGAGCGCCUCGGAAGAACUCCAAAGUUCAAUGGUGCACAAAGUCUUGAGACUUUGCUGCUUCAAGGUUGCAGACGUCUGAGGGAGAUCGAUCAAUCAAUAUGCCAGCUGAAAUCCCUUCAAGUCUUGGACAUUUCUGGGUGCGAUGAGAUACAAACACUGCCAGUUGACCUUGGAAAUGUGCAAAGUCUAAGAUGUCUUUGUGUAAUUGAUACGGGUAUAAAACGAUUACCUAAAUCUGUUGAAAAGCUAAAAAAUCUUGUAUCUUUGGAAUUGGGAUUUUUGAAGGGCGGAAGGAUUUUUCCUCAAAGCAGACCCUUAAGGUCCUUGUCGACUUGUCUUUCCCAUUUAGCCCUUACAAAUUUUGGUUUCUCCGAGGCUGAUAUUCAUGUCCAUAUUGGGAGUUUAUCCUCCUUGAUAUGUUUAGAUCUGAGUGGCAACAAUUUUCAUCAUCUACCUUUUGAUUUUUCUAAGUUACGAUUCUUAAAGGACUUGCGUUUGAAUGACUGUAAAAAUCUUCAAACACUCCCGUCAGUAUCAAAUUUAGAGAAUCUUGAAAGUCUCCAACUUAGGAAUUGCAAGAAGUUGGUCGACAUUAGAGGGUUGGACAACCUCCCUUCUAUAAAGCGGAUCGACAUGAUCGAUUGUAGUUCUCUGCCGAAUCCUUUCAAUGAAGGCUUCUUUAGAAAAUAUCCAUAUAAGCAGUUCUUUCAAAUUGAUCUCCAAUGCAAUGAGAUUCCAGAUUGGUGCAGCAAUAAAGUAGCAGCUCCAUCUAUCUGUUUGACUGUCCCCAGACAUGAUAAGGAGUAUAAGUUCUUAGGAAUGGCUCUCUGGUUUGUUUCAACUGGAAGCUUUGUUGUUUCUGUAUCCCAUAGAGAGAGAGCGCUUAUGGGGUGGCAUAUCAGUAAUUAUAAACCCCAAGGACAAAUAUCAUGUGUAUAUUACAUAUCUUACUUAGAUAGACCUUUUGACGGCCAGAUGAUCAAAGGCGGGGAAAAGAUAACAGUCCACGAGAGAGGCGAUAUAUUCUCUUUCAAAGAUAGAGUAAAGAAGAUAGGGAGAGUAAAGAAGUUAGGGAUACAUCUGUUAUACUUAGACCAACACGGUAAUGUUACAUCUUUGCCGGGAGAGGUGGAUCAUUCUUAUUCUCCGUUUCCAGAAGAACGUUCAGCAAGGCAUGAAGAGCAAAGUUUGAUUUGAAUUUGUAGUGUUGCCCAAGGUUGAAGGAACUGAAUCUCUCUGAUUGCGAGCACCUCAGAGAAACUCCAAAGUUCAAUGGUGCACGAAGUCUUGAGACUUUGUGGCUUCAAGGUUGCUCAAGUCUGACGGAGAAGUUCCGGUCCACUUUUGAACACGGUCUUCUACUUAAGGCUUUUCCACAGCUUGAUUCAAGGAAAGAAAAAAAUCUAUUUAUCUCGUGUCCGACCUUAGCGGUCAAGAAGAUGAAAGGCAGCGCUACUUGGGCAUUUCCUAUUUGCUUAAGACAAUGGGGAAGAUUUCCCUUCAUGUGGAGGAUAUGCAGAUGAAAAUUAUCUUCAAUUGUUUCAAAUCAAUUUCACCAAAGCUUGUAGAUCAGAAUAGAUUGUUGUCCCCUGACGGUGAGGUUGAUUGCCAAAGCUUUGCAUAUCAUAUGCUGUUGCCGCUGUACAAAGUUUGUGAAGGAUUUGCUGGAAAAGUUAUAUCAGAUGACGUGAAACAAAUGGCUGAAGAAGUGCGCGGGAGCAUAACCAAAGUAAUGGGACUGCAGAGUUUUGUCCAAAUCUACAGUCAUAUAAGGAAGAAUCUCAAAUCCAAGAGGGAUAACAGGAAACAAGAAGAGAAGGAGGUCAUUGCUGUGAUUAAUCCAAUGAGAAAUGCCAAGAGGAAGUUGGCCAAGAGGAAGCUGAGGAAUGCAGAAAAGCAUAAAGCUCAUAAUAAAAGGAAAAUGACUGCAAUGAAAUGGGAAGAUGGAUGUAGUUAGUUGGACUUUGUUAGGUGUGAACAAUUGAGCAUCUUCGACACGAAGAAGGAUGGGCUCCAUCUGGGGGUGAGAGUUGGCGUGAUAACAAAGUAGAUUUCCCCUUAGAACCUCCGCAGCCGGGGCAGCCCUCCCCUAAGUAGCUUUUAUAGAAAGUUUUGUUUAAUUUAUUUGAUCAACUAUUUCAUUGUCUAGUGCUAGUAGUUGCACUAAGCUUAAUUAAAGAAGGAAUCUGUAUAGUGAAUAUAGUGGCCCUUUCAUUAACCUACAUUGCAAGAGAACAUCGUAAGUGAUUGAACAGUGUAAUUUAAGGAUUUUAAGUAAUGGGGAAUUGUCUUGGAGAA